GCCUGGGUGGCUCAGUAGGUUAAGCACCUGACUUCAGCUCAGGUCACGAUCUCACAGUUUGUGAGUUUGAGCCCCACCUUGGGCU
rnacentral:tRNA from 1 species